AUUGAACGCUGGCGGCAUGCUUUACACAUGCAAGUCGAACGGCAGCACGGGUGCUUGCACCUGGUGGCGAGUGGCGGACGGGUGAGUAAUGCAUCGGAACGUGUCCUGAAGUGGGGGAUAACGCAUCGAAAGAUGUGCUAAUACCGCAUAUUCUCUGAGGAGGAAAGUAGGGGAUCGAAAGACCUUAUGCUUUUGGAGCGGCCGAUGUCUGAUUAGCUAGUUGGUAGGGUAAUGGCUUACCAAGGCGACGAUCAGUAGUUGGUCUGAGAGGACGACCAGCCACACUGGGACUGAGACACGGCCCAGACUCCUACGGGAGGCAGCAGUGGGGAAUUUUGGACAAUGGGCGCAAGCCUGGUCCAGCAAUGCCGCGUGAGUGAAGAAGGCCU
rnacentral:rRNA from 1 species